UUUGGUUAUCUUGGUUUAGUUUUGUAUGCAUUCUAAUUGGAUUUGAAAGGUGAACAUAGAAUCAAUAUUUAAAGGGGGUGCAAGCAAGUGAUCGGUCUCCAUGGACACUAUACGUACACUCGAGUGCUGAGGGAACAAGCAAACACGAUGGCAUCGUCUGUGUAUCGUACUUAGAGGAAAAGCUGCAUGCAUGUAUUCUCUUUUUUUUCCCUCAAC